UGCCCACGUAAAAGGCGCCAGGGGCCUGCGGCGACGUCUGCAACCCACCCGACCCAUCUUGAAACACGAACCAAGGAGUCGAACGCACGUGCGAGUCAGAGGGUGCAAGCAAAACCCCGUGGCGCAAUGAAAGUGAGGGCCGGUGCACGCCGAUAGGACCCGGAAGAUGGUAACGAGAGGUUAACGUCACGCUGCUGUUAAGUGUUAUCGGUGCUGUUUUAUCGGAGCCGUUUUGCGAGUACGAUUAAUGAGCACAGUGUCGAACCCGAUACCCGAUACUGGUAUCGGUGCAUCCCUAGUAAAUACCCCAUCUCAUGAAUUUUUAAGCUUUUACGUGUCUCCAAAAAGGCGGUGGCUGACAAGUGGCUAAAUGAGACGACUGAACUUCAUCACACCGAACACUAGUCCGCCUUCAGCUUAGUGGUGGUGACGUGAAGUCAUGUGACCGUGGUGUAGAAAAAUACGUCAUCCC